AAUCUCUCCUCUUAGGGAAACUGUUCCACACCCGUAAUCAUUUUUGUUGCCCUUCUCUGUACUUUUUUCCAUUCUUAUAUCUAUUUUUGAGAUGAAGCAAUCAGAACUGCACAUUGUAUUCAAGGUGUGGGCAUACCAUGGAUUUAUAUUGUGGC